CACUUGCUGGGUGGAUUAGUGGCGAACGGGUGAGUAACACGUGAGUAACCUGCCCUUAACUCUGGGAUAAGCCUGGGAAACUGGGUCUAAUACCGGAUAGGAGCGYCYACCGCAUGGUGGGUGUUGGAAAGAUUUAUCGGUUUUGGAUGGACUCGCGGCCUAUCAGCUUGUUGGUGAGGUAAUGGCUCACCAAGGCGACGACGGGUAGCCGGCCUGAGAGGGUGACCGGCCACACUGGGACUGAGACACGGCCCAGACUCCUACGGGAGGCAGCAGUGGGGAAUAUUGCACAAUGGGCGCAAGCCUGAUGCAGCGACGCCGCGUGAGGGAUGACGGCCUUCGGGUUGUAAACCUCUUUCAGUAGGGAAGAAGCGAAAGUGACGGUACCUGCAGAAGAAGCACCGGCUAACUACGUGCCAGCAGCCGCGGUAAUACGUAGGGUGCGAGCGUUAUCCGGAAUUAUUGGGCGUAAAGAGCUCGUAGGCGGUUUGUCGCGUCUGUCGUGAAAGUCCGGGGCUUAACCCCGGAUCUGCGGUGGGUACGGGCAGACUAGAGUGCAGUAGGGGAGACUGGAAUUCCUGGUGUAGCGGUGGAAUGCGCAGAUAUCAGGAGGAACACCGAUGGCGAAGGCAGGUCUCUGGGCUGUAACUGACGCUGAGGAGCGAAAGCAUGGGGAGCGAACAGGAUUAGAUACCCUGGUAGUCCAUGCCGUAAACGUUGGGCACUAGGUGUGGGGACCAUUCCACGGUUUCCGCGCCGCAGCUAACGCAUUAAGUGCCCCGCCUGGGGAGUACGGCCGCAAGGCUAAAACUCAAAGGAAUUGACGGGGGCCCGCACAAGCGGCGGAGCAUGCGGAUUAAUUCGAUGCAACGCGAAGAACCUUACCAAGGCUUGACAUGUUCUCGAUCGCCGUAGAGAUACGGUUUCCCCUUUGGGGCGGGUUCACAGGUGGUGCAUGGUUGUCGUCAGCUCGUGUCGUGAGAUGUUGGGUUAAGUCCCGCAACGAGCGCAACCCUCGUUCCAUGUUGCCAGCACGUMGUGGUGGGGACUCAUGGGAGACUGCCGGGGUCAACUCGGAGGAAGGUGAGGACGACGUCAAAUCAUCAUGCCCCUUAUGUCUUGGGCUUCACGCAUGCUACAAUGGCCGGUACAAUGGGUUGCGAUACUGUGAGGUGGAGCUAAUCCCAAAAAGCCGGUCUCAGUUCGGAUUGGGGUCUGCAACUCGACCCCAUGAAGUCGGAGUCGCUAGUAAUCGCAGAUCAGCAACGCUUCYGGGAAACUUUCCCGGC
rnacentral:rRNA from 1 species